AUUUCUUUCUUAGAAAUCAGACCGGAUAUUUUGUUUGCACCAUUUAUUUUAUUUUCUGUAGCGGGAUUUCUGCACUUGGACCACAGCUGAUUCUUGCCGGAUUCACUUAAGGUUGUGUUUCAAAGCAGCAACAGGAGAACACCAGUCAGCCCCAAGAAGCUUUAUGGAGUUCUUUGUACUAAGGAACAGUGGGGUGUACCCCUUACAGCAAGGAGUCUCUUCUGGAAUAAAAAGGAAGUCAAAUAUUCAGAAAACAAUGAUGAAGAAUAAAAUCAAAAAUUAUUUAAA
ensembl:lncRNA